AUUGAACGCUGGCGGCAGGCUUAACACAUGCAAGUCGAGCGGGGUGAUGGUGCUUGCACUAUCACUUAGCGGCGGACGGGUGAGUAAUACUUAGGAAUCUGCCUAUUAGAGGGGGACAACAUCUCGACAGGGCUGCUAAUACCGCAUACGUCCUACGGGAGACAGCAGGGGAUCUUUAUGACCUUGCGCUAAGAGAUGCGCCUACGUCAGAUUCGCCAGUUGGUGGGGUAAAGGGCUACCAAGGCGGCGAUCUGUAGCGGGUCUGAGAGGAUGAUCCGCCACACUGGGACUGAGACACGGACCAGACUCCUACGGGAGGCAGAAGUGGGGAAUAUUGGACAAUGGGGGGAACCCUGACCCAGCCGUGCCGCGUGUGUGAAGAAGGCCUUAUGGUUGUAAAGCACUUUAAGCGAGGAGGAGGCUCUUUUGGUUAAUACCCAAGAUGAGUGGACGUUACUCGCAGAAUAAGCACCGGCCAACUCUGUGCCAGCCGCCGCCGUAACAC
rnacentral:rRNA from 1 species